UAUACAUAUAUGUUUUAAAAUUUUAUUUUCUAAACAUCGUAGUAGAGAAUAAGAUUAAAAUAUAUUUAAUCUGAAUUAUGCAUGCAUGAAAACAUAAAACCAUAUGGAUCUAUCUCAUAUGUUGAAAUUGAUAUAUGUUGAAAUUCAGAUUGUGAUCAAAUCACAUACCUGUUUCAUAAUUUUUUUCUUCAAAUCUGAAUCUGAAAGAGAAGAGGUUCUCUCUUAGCCAUAUAAGUGUUCGACCUCUACAAGUAUCCACUUGGAUCAGCUUGAAACAGCUCUCUUUAAUCUAAAUUUUGGUUCUCCAAAAUUCAGCCUACUGAAUUUGAACAAAGCCUGGAUCGCGAUCAAUGCUUGAUCUUUCUUCUUGAUCUUCUUCUUCUCCUCUUCUCUAAGCUUUCUCUUUACUUUGUGUUACCACAAAAGAUCAGCAACCAGAUAUUU
rnacentral:lncRNA from 1 species